rnacentral:rRNA from 1 species
UAUGAAUGGCAAAACGAGGGCUAAGCUGUCUCCUCUCUCCAGUCAAUGAAAUUGAUCCCCCCGUGAAGAAGCGGGGAUAUACACAUAAGACGAGAAGACCCUUUGGAGCUUUAGACGCAAGGCAGAUCACGUUAAACACCCAGCAUGAAGGGGACAAACUAAAUGGAACCUGCCCUGAUGUCUUUGGUUGGGGCGACCGCGGGGUAAACCAAAACCCCCACGUGGAAUGAGGAGACUUUUCUCUUUACUCAGAGCUACCGCUCUAAUUAUCAGAAAUUCUGACCAAAAAGAUCCGGCAAAGCCGAUCAACGAACCAAGUUACCCUAGGGAUAACAGCGCAAUCCCCUUCUAGAGACCCUAUCGACAAGGGAGUUUACGACCUCGAUGUUGGAUCAGGACAUCCUAAUGGUGCAGCUGCUAUUAAGGGUUCGUUUGUUCAACGAUUAAAGUCCUACGUGAUCUGAGUCA